AGGGUUUAAGGUUUAGGGUUCAGUUAACGCGACUGCCGACAACGGCGGAUUCCGACAAAACUGAUACCCAUCCACACUCAAAUCCCUCUUCACCACAAAAUGCCCCAAUGAACCAACCCUUUCCACCAAAUUCUCACUACACAAAAACUCAUCACUACUAACUUUCUCCACCUCCCUAUCAAACUCAUGAACAAACACAUGCGUUUUAUCGGUUCCUACACUUCUUGCUAACACGCCCGCCGUAAAGAUCGCCGACAAUCGCCCAGGCGCUUUCGGGAAGUACCCGCGCGGUCCGUCCACCAAAAUAACAUCCCAAGCGACGUCGUAUACAUGAUUCGGUAAAUCAUUAAUCGCCAGUUUACAUUCGGAGAAUAGUAAAUUCUGCACGGGUCUACACUCGUUUCUUAGUUCGGAUCUCGCAUAAUUCAUUAACUCUUUCAGUUCGGAUACUUUCGUAGUGAACUGAACAUCGUACGCUUCGAUACCCGGGUGUUUUUCUUCUAGUUUAGAUAUAAAAUACGGGUUCUCGUCCACAAACGUAGUACGGCCGUAUACGUUGAGGGCGUGCCAGAGUAGGGUUUCGUGGGUGAGACCGAAGACGAGGAAAUUACAUCCGGCGGAGCAGCGGCGGAGGACGGUGGCGAUGGAGGUGAGUUCGGCGGGGGUCAUACGAGGUGGGGUUGUGAGGUUUGGGGCGGUGGUGGUGGCGUAGUGGAGGAGGGCGUCGUGUACGGUGGUGGGUAGUGGGUGGGGGGUGGUGGUGGGGGUGGGGGUGGUGGUGGUGUACGGGAGGGUGGUGAUGAGAGAGAAAGUUAAGAGGAGAGAGAGGAGGAUGAAGAGGGUGAAGAGAGAGAGUGUGGAGAGAGAUAGUGAGAGAGAGAGAGAGAUUUAAGGUGACAGAGAAAGGGAGGGCUCAUAUCACGAGGUUAUUAGUAGUAGCAGGAUUGUGACCCACAAUUCGAAAAUAAAUACACCGUCUUUGUUAUUUAUUUAUUGUGUAAGAAUAUCACGGAAUUUUUAUGUAAGAAUAAUAAGAUAAUGAAAUGCGUGUCUAACUCACCUGC
rnacentral:lncRNA from 1 species